GACGAACGCUGGCGGCGUGCUUAACACAUGCAAGUCGAACGGAAAGGCCCUGCUUUUGUGGGGUGCUCGAGUGGCGAACGGGUGAGUAACACGUGAGUAACCUGCCCUUGACGUUGGGAUAACUUCAGGAAACUGGGGCUAAUACCGGAUAGGAGCUCCUGCGGCAUGGGGGGGGUUGGAAAGUUUCGGCGGUUGGGGAUGGACUCGCGGCUUAUCAGCUGGUGGGGGGGGAGUGGCUUACCAAGGGUUUGACGGGUCGCCGGCCUGGGAGGGGGACCGGCCCCCAUAGGCCUGCGGUAGGCCGCAGUCUCCAACGGUGGGCAACGGUCGGAAGUCUUGCCCAGUGAUCGCGCGCCUGUUACGGCAGCCCUCCGUGCGUGAUGCCGGCCUUCGCGUUAUGAACCGCUUUCGCCUGUGACGAAGCGUGAGUGACGGUACCGGGUGAAGAAGCACCGGCUAACUACGUG
rnacentral:rRNA from 1 species